CUGGAAGGAGAGUAAUAUCUGAAGAUCAAGAGGUCUGAUCUAUCACUUUUCAUUCAAAGGCACACAAUGCUAGAAAAAGAAAAUUGGAUUUGAAGGAAGUCUGAGAAAUGGGACACCAUUUUCAGCUUUACCAUUCAAUAGUUAAAUAACUUGGAAUUACUACCUGUAUCAUCUUCCGGGGCUGCCAUAACAAGACACCACAGACUGACUUUCUCGUUCUGGAUGCUGGGAUUCUCAUAUCAUCAAGAUUUCCACCUGCUUGUCUCUGAAGUGCUACCUGACCUUAAAAUAUUUAGACGAGAGAUGGGGACAAUGGUGCUUCUGUGAGCCACAGCCCCAAGAAUCCAGAUCCAUUUCAUCACUGAUAGCCAAGCC
rnacentral:lncRNA from 1 species